ACGAGCUGAAGGCAUCUGGGUCACCUCCCACCCGUGUUUAACGAACCCUGUUGCUUCGGCGGGCCCGCCUCACGGCCGCCGGGGGGCUCUCUGCCCCCGGGCCCGCGCCCGCCGAAGACCCCUGUGAACGCUGUCUGAAGUUGCAGUCUGAGAAACUAGCUAAAUUAGUUAAAACUUUCAACAACGGAUCUCUUGGUUCCGGCAUCGAUGAAGAACGCAGCGAAAUGCGAUAAUUAAUGUGAAUUGCAGAAUUCAGUGAAUCAUCGAGUCUUUGAACGCACAUUGCGCCCUCUGGUAUUCCGGAGGGCAUGCCUGUCCGAGCGUCAUUGCUGCCCUCAAGCACGGCUUGUGUGUUGGGCCCUCGUCCCCCCGGGGACGGGCCCGAAAGGCAGCGGCGGCACCGCGUCCGGUCCUCGAGCGUAUGGGGCUUCGUCACCCGCUCGUCCAGGCCCGGCCGGCGCCAGCCGACCCCCCCUCAAUCUUUAACCAGGUUGACCUCGGAUCAGGUAGGGAUACCCGCUGAACUUAAGCAUAUC
rnacentral:rRNA from 1 species